CUGGCGGCGCGCUUAACACAUGCAAGUCGAGCGAUGAAACUUUAACAGAACCCUUCGGGGCGAAGAUAAAGUGGAUUAGCGGCGGACGGGUGAGUAACACGUGAGUAACCUGCCUUAGACAUUGGGAUAGCCUCGGGAAACCGGGAUUAAUACCAAAUAAAAUCAUAAUGACACAUGUCAUAACGAUCAAAACUCCGGUGGUCUAAGAUGGACUCGCGUCCCAUUAGCUAGUUGGUAGAGUAAAAGCCUACCAAGGCGACGAUGGGUAGCCGGCCUGAGAGGGUGAACGGCCACAUUGGAACUGAGAAACGGUCCAAACUCCUACGGGAGGCAGCAGUGGGGAAUAUUGCACAAUGGAGGGAACUCUGAUGCAGCGACGCCGCGUGAACGAAGAAGGCCUUCGAGUCGUAAAGUUCUUUUAUAUGGGAAGAUAAUGACGGUACCAUAAGAAAAAGCCCCGGCUAACUACGUGCCAGCAGCCGCGGUAAUACGUAGGGGGCUAGCGUUGUCCGGAAUCACUGGGCGUAAAGGGUUCGCAGGCGGAAAUGCAAGUCAGAUGUAAAAGGCAGUAGCUUAACUACUGUAAGCAUUUGAAACUGCAUAUCUUGAGAAGAGUAGAGGUAAGUGGAAUUUUUAGUGUAGCGGUGAAAUGCGUAGAUAUUAAAAAGAAUACCGGUGGCGAAGGCGACUUACUGGGC
rnacentral:rRNA from 2 species